rnacentral:lncRNA from 1 species
UCAAACUGUUGAGGGAGUGGAUUCAUGUGAUGAUGACCCCUUAUUUCCUCUUGGUUAUGGACUAGUUUAUAGUAAGAGUUCACAUGAUUAAAUACUUGAGUUACCCAAGACAUUGCUUAAGGAUUCAAUUUGAGGAGAUUGUGAACAAUCCAUGCAUGUAGUACCAUGUAUGGUACAAUUGGUUGACCUUUUACAAUUUUUAUGUCUAUGUCAUUUGCUUUUAUG